rnacentral:rRNA from 1 species
GCGUUGUUCGGAUUUACUGGGCGUAAAGCGCACGUAGGCGGAUCGUUAAGUCGGGGGUGAAAUCCUGGAGCUCAACUCCAGAACUGCCUUCGAUACUGGCGAUCUUGAGUCCGGAAGAGGUGAGUGGAACUCCUAGUGUAGAGGUGGAAUUCGUAGAUAUUAGGAAGAACACCAGUGGCGAAGGCGGCUCACUGGUCCGGUACUGACGCUGAGGUGCGAAAGCGUG